CGGGAUAUAGCUCAAUGAAUAGAGCGCUCUGCCUAGUGUAGAGAGGUUGGUGGUCCAAAUCCACUUAUCCCGACCA
rnacentral:tRNA from 1 species